GAGAGAGAGAGAUUGUUUAGCCUUAUAACGCUUCCCAGAAGCUAAAAUAACUCUGUCCAUGUUACUGCCACGGAGUGAUGUGCCUCUUCACGUGAUCCAUGGAAACAAUGCACAACUCUCCAGAGCCUGUGCACUCAUUUCAAAUGUUCACCUGGCUUACCAUAAAGACAUUCGGCCCCAUCAUAUGUAUGACUACAUACACCUCAACA